UAGGGAAUCUUCGGCAAUGGACGAAAGUCUGACCGAGCAACGCCGCGUGAGUGAAGAAGGUUUUCGGAUCGUAAAACUCUGUUGUUAGAGAAGAACAAGGACGUUAGUAACUGAACGUCCCCUGACGGUAUCUAACCAGAAAGCCACGGCUAACUACGUGCCAGCAGCCGCGGUAAUACGUAGGCGGCAAGCGUUGUCCGGAUUUAUUGGGCGUAAAGCGAGCGCAGGCGGUUUCUUAAGUCUGAUGUGAAAGCCCCCGGCUCAACCGGGGAGGGUCAUUGGAAACUUGGAGACUUGAGUGCAGAAGAGGAGAGUGGGAUUCCAUGUGUAGCGGUGAAAUGCGUAGAUAUAUGGAGGAACACCAGUGGCGAAAGCGGCUCUCUGGUCUGUAACUGACGCUGAGGCUCGAAAGCGUGGGGAGCAAACAGG
rnacentral:rRNA from 1 species